rnacentral:rRNA from 2 species
GCAUAUCAAUAAGCGGAGGAAAAGAAACCAACAGGGAUUGCCCUAGUAACGGCGAGUGAAGCGGCAACAGCUCAAAUUUGAAAUCUGGCUUCGGCCCGAGUUGUAAUUUGCAGAGGAAGCUUUAGGCGCGGCACCUUCUGAGUCCCCUGGAACGGGGCGCCACAGAGGGUGAGAGCCCCGUAUAGUUGGAUGCCUAGCCUGUGUAAAGCUCCUUCGACGAGUCGAGUAGUUUGGGAAUGCUGCUCAAAAUGGGAGGUAAAUUUCUUCUAAAGCUAAAUACCGGCCAGAGACCGAUAGCGCACAAGUAGAGUGAUCGAAAGAUGAAAAGCACUUUGAAAAGAGGGUUAAAUAGCACGUGAAAUUGUUGAAAGGGAAGCGCUUGUGACCAGACUUGCGCCAGGCUGAUCAUCCGGUGUUCUCACCGGUGCACUCUGCCCGGCGCAGGCCAGCAUCGGUUCUCGCGGGGGGAUAAAGGCCCCGGGAACGUAGCUCCUCCGGGAGUGUUAUAGCCCGGGGCGUAAUGCCCUCGCGGGGACCGAGGACCGCGCAUCUGCAAGGAUG